rnacentral:rRNA from 1 species
GACGAACGCUGGCGGCGUGCUUAACACAUGCAGGUCGUACGGUAAGGCCCUUUCGGGGGUACACGAGUGGCGAACGGGUGAGUAACACGUGAGUAACCUGCCCACAACUUUGGGAUAACGCUAGGAAACUGGUGCUAAUACUGGAUAUGUGCUCCUGCUGCAUGGUGGGGGUUGGAAAGCUCCGGCGGUUGUGGAUGGACUCGCGGCCUAUCAGCUUGUUGGUGGGGUAGUGGCCUACCAAGGCGGCGACGGGUAGCCGGCCUGAGAGGGUGACCGGCCACAUUGGGACUGAGAUACGGCCCAGACUCCUACGGGAGGCAGCAGUGGGGAAUAUUGCACAAUGGGCGCAAGCCUGAUGCAGCAACGCCGCGUGCGGGAUGACGGCCUUCGGGUUGUAAACCGCUUUCAGCAGGGACGAAGCUUUUUGUGACGGUACCUGCAGAAGAAGCACCGGCUAACUACGUG